rnacentral:tRNA from 1 species
GUGGGUGUGGUUCAGCGGUAGGGCGGUUGACCCAUUAUCGUAAGAUUGCAGGUUCGAUUCCUGCCUUGCACG